AAACAAUAAACAUAUAAAUAAGUAAAAUGUGUGUUAUGUUAAAUGUUGAUGAAACCCGUGAAAUAAAGGGACGCAGAGGAAGGAUACGGCGGUGUGGGAGGGUGGAAUUCUAGAGUGGGUCAGGGUGAAGACCUCACAGGGGUGAGACAGUGAGCCGUGUGGCUACUUGGGGAAGAGCAUUUGGGGACAGAGGAACAGCAAAUACAAAGGCCGUAAGCAGGAUUGGGAAAUGAGAUCAAGGCCCUUUUGGAAUAUACUAACACUGAGUCAUCUGUUGGACAUCCAGUGGAGAGACCAAGUGGAAAGUGGAACACAGACAUUCAGGGAGAAGUCUGGGUUGGGGAUACCAACUGAAGUGCCAUCAGCAUGUCGAUGGAAUUUAAAGCUAUGAGACUGAAAAGGAGGGGCCCAAGGACAGGAAGGAGUGACCACCCACGAGGCCAAGUCUCCCACAAUUCAGAGUCCAUCUUGGAUGUCACCUCAUCCGUGAAGACUUUCCUGAUUCCUCUCACCAAAUGAAGUUCCUUCCCUCCUCUGAACCUACGGGACUUCUGCCUCUUGGGGUUAUUGGUAUAAUUGUCUCCUUUCCAUACACCACCAUAAACAACCUGGAAGCACAGGGUUACAUCAGUGUUCUCCGUACCGUGUACCUUGGAUGCUCCAUAAAGCUACAUUAAAGGGAACUGAAUAGGUGCCUGGGGCAGGGGUUCGAAGCUGCUGGUGACAGUGAGCUUGGAGGUUGUCUGUGGAUUUCAGUUUUGAGGAUCUCGCUGUUUCCUGCCUCUGUCCACUCCUGAGUAAUAAACGUUGACUGGCCUCACGAGCAUCUUCCACCUCAUGACCCUGAUGAGGGACCUAGUUGAUUGUCUGUAAGAAACUCAUUUGGGGUCUCUGGCAAGAGAACAAGAGAGGAAACAAGGAGAUAGCCAACAAAAGACAGCUGAACUACAGAAAAUGAUGUGCUAAGAGUCAUGCCACCUAGGCCCGCAUGUUUUGGCUCUUGCCAACUCUCCUUGUUGCCUAAAAAAUAGCAAAAGAACACAUUGCCUUUUUCACUCUGCUUCUCAUCCUUUCAGACACAAUUUUCAAGCCUCAUAGUAUCAGCCACUCUUUAGUUCCCAGGAGAUGGCAUUUUCCCUGGAGGCCUUCAGGCAUCUGCCACACUAGGCUGUCUGUGCAGAGGCAUCUGGCAAACGAUUUCCAGUGGCUGCUCAGCGAUCUCCUUUAGGCGCUGACCAAGGGCAUGGGUAAGAAUCCUUUGUGUUUGGAAAAGGAGGUGGUCCCGGAGGAGGCACGCCUGCUCUGCCUCUGGGUGUGGGGGUGAGAAGCUGCAAAUGAGAAUUACAGCCUCCACAUGGGAUCGUCACAGCUCAGAAUGACAGGACAAUUUCAGGAACUCACAAACUGGCUUCCCUAAGAUCCCAUGCAGAGACAGCACCCAGGAAGUAUGGAAACGAAAGUUGGAAAAUGGCGACUGGUGGGCCACAACUUGAUUGCCCGUGAAAUUUAUUUGGUUGUCCCAGGGUUAUUUUAAUAGGAAAAUUUCACCCAGAAAUCAAGUUUUCCAAUUUCUCUUGAAAAAUUAGAAGACCUGGCAUCAAUCAACGGGAGCUGAAUAGAGGCUGCCCUCUUUAGAUGAGGCACAAAACUUCCAGUUUGCCACACUCCCCUCUACUCCCUAUUGUGGCUUAUCUGGCCCAUUCACUCAUUAUCCAUCUGGCCCAGAAAUUAAUUUUACAAACCCUAUCAUGAAGGUCAUAGAGAGUCAGGAAAUGUCUCAGAGAGCAAGAAAAACAGGUACAGUUUCCUCUACAAGAAAGCAUUCAUUCAUUCAAGAAACACUAAUUGACUGUUAUUGGCACCAAGCAUUGUGCUAGAUGCUGAGGACACAAAAUGAAAAUCAGGGUCUUUGCCCUUAGGAUUUUAAUCUGGUGGUGAGGCAGAGGAAAAAGCCAACAAUCAGAGCAAAAUGUACUACAGAUCCACAAUCCGAAACUCUUGGGGGCAGUUGUAUUUCAGAAUGCAGAACGUUUUUUGCAUUUUAGAAAAGUACUGUGUUAUAUACCCCAUACAUUCUGUAACAGUGCCGGCAGUCUGGGGCAGCACGCUGUCAGCAAACCCAUUAAUGUUUCUAUAGCAAAGCAUAUGAAUACCCACACUAAGUGGAAUAAAGACUACAAACAGCAAGUCAGUUCAGGUCAGGUUUUUGCCAUUAGGUGAGGUGUUUGCCCCAAAUGAGAUUGCUUCACAUUCAUAAAAAAUGGAUUUUGGAAUGGCAGAUAAGGGCUCAUGCCCCUGCCUAGAGGUCCAGGUCUGCCAAAAGUCAGGGAGAGAAGGUUUCCUGGAGGAGAUAGCACUUGAGCUGAAACUCGAAAGAUCAAGAAGAGGGAGAACCUUCCAGCACAGACCAGACGAGCCAUGUGCAAAGACUCAAGCAGCCCACGGGCCCACUACAGCCAGUCCCGAGGGAAGCAGCAUCCUGCUGCUGGGCAGCGGGCACAGGCAGUGCUGACCACCUGUGUCCAAUUCACCUGGGGACACGUGAUGAAAACCAGAAACCCUGGGCCCUCCCCGACAGCCUCUCAGGGAAUGAAGCCCUGCAAACUCCGCUGGAGCAAGCUCUCCAGGAGAUUCUUAUUCACGCUGGAGUCUGAGAACCACUGAUUUCAUCGAAACACCCUGUGCGCCAGACAGUGUUUUAAGCUGCUUUAGAAUUCUGCACAAACGUGACCCACCUAGCAACCUUACUGGCUGCUUUAGCCAGUAACUCCUCAUGCCUCUGGACAGCUGACCUGCCUGCUCUGCCCAAACCACGUAGUCCUCUACCAGCUCCAGAAACCCUGGUCCUUUGAUGUCUCACUGCACCUGUUCUCAGCUUUGUGGACGAGAGACCAUGUCUUCCUGCAUCUGUUGCCAGGUUCAGAGGCCUCAGAGCUCUGCUUCUGAUCAUGCCUCCAAGCAAUUAAAGAACAACAAGGUAAAACCCCAAAUGCAAAACCCCCCACCCCACUUCCCACUAGCCCACUCCCCAAGGAACCACCCUCAACUGUGUUCUUUGUACCCUCCAAGGAGGGAAAGAAAAAGUAUGCUGUUACCACCAAAUAAACACAUAUACAAAUGGACAAAAGUAUUCAUUCAUAUCCCUUUUAUUUAUACUAAAUGUUUUCUGAUAUAUUUUGGACUUGGGAGGCAUAGAAUUAAUCUUCAUUCUUGUCCCAAUCCCUAGUCUUUUAUUUCUUUCUCUGUUUAAAUGUCUG
rnacentral:lncRNA from 1 species